rnacentral:ribozyme from 1 species
GCUUUAAAGGAAAUAAUAUUAAAUAAGAGGAAAAUUCGUAGGUAGAAAACACAUUCGUUUGCAGCUUUUGCGGGCCUUUUCCGGGAGGUUUUCUUUUGUUUUCAUUCUUUUUCC